GUCCUCCCCAAGGCCAUUCACUCACUCUGUCCCUGAGCUCAUGGCCAGGCUGACUGGGGAGGGUGUUUAAGGCACAGACAGGCCCUGAAGUCCCACCCAUUCUACUGCUGGCUCAGCUCACAUUACCUCCUAUUUGGACUUGUUUGCUGCUCACAGUCAAGUUCUCCAAGACCAGGAUUGCUGGCUCUCAGUUUCUAGAACAACCACAGUGGAAGAUGCUGAUUCAUACUUCUGGAAACCAGAAGUGAAGUUACAUCUGGUGCAUUUUCCAAGAGGAGCCUUGUGCUGUGUGUGGCUGCUGUAUUCUACAUAAAGAGCUGCUUUUCCAACAACCAUGUGGAGACUGAAUAAGGGUUUGAAGGAUAAUCAAGGCUGAGGCCAUGUUCUCCAUCUGCUGAAGCUUUUGGUCACUCAGCCUUCUAGAGGCAGUUACUGUUAAGCCAAGAUCUCAAGCUUCCAGGUCCCAUUCUUGGGUCCUUCCUUAGGUUCAUUGCUUGGAGUUGGUUUUCUCAAUAAAGGAACUUGAACAUUAUUUAAGUUUUGGGCC
rnacentral:lncRNA from 1 species